UGAUCUAAGCGUAAACGUGCAGUUUAUUGUGUUUCAGUGUAAAAUUAAUAAAAGUAGUAAUAAAAGUAAUAAUAACAUCUACAUAUAUAAAAGUAACAAGCUGUAAGAGUGCAUCGCCUGUAUUUAUCACGAAAAUGCCUACGAUAUCCCGAGAAUCCUUAUCACAUCAAAAUCCUGACAACAAAUUUCUUCUGUCGUUUUAAGGUUAUGUUUCCGUUUUAUAUGCAUGAAACACGUAAGCGUUCAAAUGUAACCGGAUAUUUUCUUAUGUUUAACAAAGUGUACUUUAAUUAUUACAUUAUUAGUAAAUCAAACUGUAAUGAUAACAUUUUUAGCUAUCAUUAUACAGUAUCGUGUGAAACAAAGUUGACUUGUAUAGAAAUUAAAAUUUUGUUUGUGGGAAAUCCAACAAAAUUUUAAUUGUUUCUUAACUAUGUACGUUUACUAAUACAGUUAUUAAAUACAUAUGGAUUGAAUAGAGUAAAGACAUCAAAGUAUUGGAGAUGAAUUCGUUGUCAGAGACUUAAUUAUCAACACUCUCAGGUUAUGUAUGAUGGAGAGCUGAAAUUGAUCGGGUAUACGUACAUGAUACCAACUUGUACGAAAUUGUGAGAAAAUAUUUCAUAGCAAUUUAUAUCAAAUACAUAUGCGAAGUUGAACAAUAGAGAUAGGUACUGUAUUAAAAUUAUUUGUAGGUAGUACAGUGAACGUGUCAACAUAAGUACUAUGACAACAUAAUUCUAUUUUACCGCUAUUUCAAAAUUUGCUGUCACCGUAAACGCCGAUGACUUCAAAAGUAUCAAAGAUUCUUUGUCGUUCUACUAGCCAUCCUCUCAUCUUCUAUACAACAUAACUUCCAUCAUAUCAUAUGUGUAAAAAGG